rnacentral:rRNA from 1 species
CAGCCGCCGCGGGAAUACGAAGGGUGCAAGCGUUAAUCGGAAUUACUGGGCGUAAAGCGCGCGUAGGUGGUGGUUUAAGUCCGUUGUGAAAGCCCUGGGCUCAACCUGGGAAUUGCAGUGGAUACUGGGUCACUAGAGUGUGGUAGAGGAUAGUGGAAUUUCCGGUGUAGCAGUGAAAUGCGUAGAGAUCGGAAGGAACAUCUGUGGCGAAGGCGACUAUCUGGGCCAACACUGACACUGAGGCACGAAAGCGUGGGGAGCAAACAGGAUUAGAUACCCCUGUAGUCCCUGUCUCUUAUAC